CUGAUGCAGCCAUGCCGCGUGCAGGAAGACUGCCCUAUGGGUUGUAAACUGCUUUUAUAGGGGAAGAAACACCCCCUCGUGUGGGGGCUUGACGGUACCGUAUGAAUAAGGAUCGGCUAACUCCGUGCCAGCAGCCGCGGUAAUACGGAGGAUCCAAGCGUUAUCCGGAAUCAUUGGGUUUAAAGGGUCCGUAGGCGGGACAAUAAGUCAGUGGUGAAAGUCUGCAGCUCAACUGUAGAACUGCCAUUGAUACUGUUGUCCUUGAGUAAUUAUGAAGUGGUUAGAAUAUGUAGUGUAGCGGUGAAAUGCAUAGAUAUCACAUGGAAUACCGAUGGCGAAGGCAGAUCACUGAUCAAAUACUGACGCUGAUGGACGAAAGCGUAGGUAGCGAACAGGAUUAGAUACCCUGGUAGUCUACGCCGUAAACGAUGGUUACUAGCUGUUUGGACCGAUUGAGGUCUGAGUGGCUAAGCGAAAGUGAUAAGUAACCCACCUGGGGAGUACGUUCGCAAGAAUGAAACUCAAAGGAAUUGACGGGGG
rnacentral:rRNA from 1 species